ACCUUAGAGACCAACUAAGUUUGUUAUUGGUAUGAGCUUUUGUGUGCAUGCACACUUCUUCAGAUCCACGCACACGAAAGCUCAUACCAAUAACAAACUUAGUUGGUCUCUAAGGU